GCAACCCUCUCCAUCAAAAUUCAAAAUCCCUCCACCUUCUCCAUCGUCACUAACCGCCGUCGCUCUUCGCCUUUCGUCGUUGCCCUCGCCCGUCGCUCAUCGCCGUUGCCGCACCGUUCCCACUCAGCUCCUCAUGCCGCACCUCAAAUCGAUCGCUGCAACAUCUUCCCGCCAGCAGAAGUGCACGCCGGUUGUUUCGUCGAUGAAUUUUUUUAUCGGUCUUAACCGCCGCAGCUACUUCGUACGUCGCCGCCGUCUCUAAUAUAGCUAUUUGAAUCUUCUGGCAAGUUGCAACUUCUUGAUAAGAUGUUGGUGAAGCUUAAAGAGCAAUUGCUAUGUAGGUGAAUGAACAAGCCAGUGAUGAGGCUGCAUCAGGGUCUUGGGGGAUUUCUAUGGAUGUUGCUUUCAACACCAUGGAGAGCACUCUUACUUUGUCUAUAAUUAUCACAGUCUUUACUUUACAGGUACUCAUGCUAUCACUUGUGCUUUGUUUGCUUUCCUAAGGCCAGGGGAUAAGGCAUUUCUGAUAAUGAGAUGCACCACUUGAAUCUCAACAUUAAAGAAUCUGUUUCUUCUAAAAGACUGACAAGGCUACCUUCCACCACAAAGAAUGGUGCAAAAUUCAGCUUGUUGUCGGGACAUGAACAGAAAAUGUGGAAACAAUGAACGAUGUGGUUUCUCUAUGCAGUUCUUGAGUCACCAUGCACUGAUCAAAGUCAUUGAAAUAGAAAGCUGUGGAUGCUGCAUUGAUCAAAGCCAUUGAAGCAGUGCUGAAUUUGAAGGCUUAUUUGGGUGUAGUGAGGAUAAUUAAGUAGUAUAUAUUUUUGAUUUUUUUUGGCUUAUGGUAAUAGUUCGUUGUUGGAAGUACUAUAGACAUGACCAUAAAUUUUGUUGUACAUAAUUUUGAUGUUUAAAUAUAUUUUCAAUUUGAAAUUUAGUGU